AACAGACCAUGAAAUAUACAUUGCAUAAUGAUAUUAUUCAAAUUAAUAGUCUGAAAAAUCGAAGAAAAUGUGUUUCAUAGUUAAGUUACUUUCAUCGUUUGACACCUUUUGUAAACUUAAACAUUUAAGACGAUGAACUGUUAUUUUAAUAAGAAAUAUACACUUGAAAUUACAAUAAAGAAAUUAUAGGGAUUCACACUUACUUUUCCAGUCCAAGCGCCGAUAUCAUAAUGAAUUUUGGUAAGUCUGAAUUAAACAUUGCCAGAUAAGUAUAGGAUCCUCCUAGAAUGACAUUGAACGCUGACGAGGAACAAUCUUUGUCUGACGUUUCUUUAUAGUUUGUGACG